rfam:Brassica napus, WGS project CCCW01000000 data, contig: 3662
AAUCCAUGGUGAGGGCAUUCUCUGCGGUAGUCAUUAAAACGCUCCCAUGAGUCACAGAAAUGCUCAUCAGUGAGCUGUCUGAAGGAGGUGAUCUUCUUCUUGCCUU